UACGUAGGUGGCGAGCGUUGUCCGGAUUUACUGGGCGUAAAGGGUGCGUAGGCGGAUAUUUAAGUGGGAUGUGAAAACCCCGGGCUUAACCUGGGGACUGCAUUUCAAACUGGAUAUCUGGAGUGCAGGAGAGGAAAGCGGAAUUCCUAGUGUAGCGGUGAAAUGCGUAGAGAUUAGGAAGAACACCAGUGGCGAAGGCGGCUUUCUGGACUGUAACUGACGCUGAGGCACGAAAGCGUGGGUAG
rnacentral:rRNA from 1 species